rnacentral:rRNA from 1 species
GACGAACGCUGGCGGCGUGCUUAACACAUGCAAGUCGAACGGAAAGGCCCCCACCUUGGUGGGGGUGCUCGAGUGGCGAACGGGUGAGUAACACGUGGGUGAUCUGCCCUGUACUUCGGGAUAAGCUUGGGAAACUGGGUCUAAUACCGGAUAGGACCAUGGUUUAGUGUCUCAUGGUGGAAAAAUUAUUGUUUUGGUGCAGGAUGAGCUCGCGGCCUAUCAGCUUGUUGGUGGGGUAAUGGCCUACCAAGGCGUCGACGGGUAGCCGGCCUGAGAGGGUGGACGGCCACAUUGGGACUGAGAUACGGCCCAGACUCCUACGGGAGGCAGCAGUGGGGAAUAUUGCACAAUGGGCGCAAGCCUGAUGCAGCGACGCCGCGUGGGGGAUGACGGCCUUCGGGGUGUAAACUCCUUUCGUUAGGGACGAAGCCACACCUUUUUUGGGUGUGGUGACGGUACCUUUGGUAAGAAGCACCGGCUAACUACGU